AGCUGGGCAUGCAAGAGGGAGAUGGAGGUGAGGUGUGAGUAGGAGAUGGAGCCUAGGGGAGAUGGAACUGGAAGGAAAGAGCAAGAUGGAGCUGGAGAAAGGGAGCUGAUGAGAGCUGAGAUGUAGCUGGGUGGGAGAGAGGCAGAUGGAGUUGGGGUCAGAGGGAUUUGGAGCUAGGGGAGAGAGGGGAUAGAGCUGGAGGUAGAAAUGAGACACUGCUUGUAAGCAGAGGCUUCCAGGGCAGCAAGAAAGUUUUUCUAUGUGGAGGCCAAAAGAUAGAUUGGGGUCUAACAACAUACCCAUGUGUUUUAAAGAAUAGACUGUGAUCGUGUGGUGCACCCACUAUAAAUGCACACUGCAUCAACUUUACUUAUCCUUGUGGGUGCACUUGGGGGUGUCCUGGUGGACGGACUUGGGGUCUCGGCCACAAUUCACAUUUAUGUAAAUAGACCUGGGAAUCUGCUACUUGUAACGGUGGGCCAAAUAUAUAAAUCUCUGUACUGUAUCUAUAAAUAGUGUUUCAUUUGUGCAGUUUUGGUGUUUGGACACAAAGCUGUUUUGUGUAUAAUGUUGACAUUCGAAGGAGUGUUUAUGUGUAGUGUUAGUAUUGGAAAUCAGGAAUGCAUUUGUGUUUAGUGUUGAUUAUGUAGGGCUAUUUUUAUGUACAGGGUUGGAGUUUUAAUACGGGUGUGUGUUUGGGUGUAGUGUUGAUGUUUGCUUACAAGCCAACAAAAUGAAUAUUAAAAUACACUUAGUA